rnacentral:lncRNA from 1 species
GGGACACAAGGCCCUUUGGGAGAGCCAGGGAGCGAUGGCCUAAAAGGAGAACAGGGAGACAUUGGUUCUCAUGAGGGGUGGGGGACCCCAGGUCUAACGGGACUUCCUGUGACUUUCAAUUGGUGGAUUGACUGAGGGCACUGACUAAAUGGACUAUUCACCUGAAUAUCAGGAUCUAAAAGGAUUUGCCGGAAAAUCAGGUCCUGUUGGAGUGAGAGGCCUGCCUGGUCUCCCUGGACCUCCUGCCCCCCCUGGAACCUCUCUGAACCUUACUCUGAACCUUACUCUGAACCUUACUCUGAACCUUACUCUGAACCUUACUCUGAACCUUACUCUGAACCUUACUCUGAACCUUACUCUGAACCUUACUCUGAACCUUACUUUACUCUGGCACAGAUCAAGGCAAGUUGUUGGUAAUCUGUCAAAGCAAAUCCCCCCCUGA